rnacentral:tRNA from 1 species
GCAGUCGUGGCCGAAUGGUUAAGGGGAUGGACUCGAAAUCUAUUGGGGAUUCCCCGCGUAGGUUCGAAUCCUACCGGCUGCC